rnacentral:rRNA from 1 species
AACGAACGCUGGCGGCAGGCUUAACACAUGCAAGUCGAACGACCCCUUCGGGGGGAGUGGCAGACGGGUGAGUAACGCGUGGGAAUGUGCCCUUCACUUCGGAAUAGCCCUUGGAAACGAGGUGUAAUACCGAAUACGCCGUAUUGGGAAAGAUUUAUCGGUGAAGGAUCAGCCCGCGUUAGAUUAGUUAGUUGGUGGGGUAAUGGCCUACCAAGACUACGAUCUAUAGCUGAUUUGAGAGGAUGAUCAGCCACACUGGGACUGAGACACGGCCCAGACUCCUACGGGAGGCAGCAGUGGGGAAUCUUGGACAAUGGAGGCAACUCUGAUCCAGCCAUGCCGCGUGAAUGAUGAAGGCCUUAGGGUUGUAAAAUUCUUUCACCGGGGAAGAUAAUGACGGUACCCGGAGAAGAAGCUCCGGCUAACUUCG